UACAGAGGGGGCAAGCGUUGUUCGGAAUUACUGGGCGUAAAGGGCGCGUAGGCGGCCUAUUAAGUCAGACGUGAAAUCCCUCGGCUCAACCGGGGAAUUGCGUCUGAUACUGGUGGGCUUGAGUUCGGGAGAGGAAUGUGGAAUUCCAGGUGUAGCGGUGAAAUGCGUAGAUAUCUGGAGGAACACCGGUGGCGAAGGCGGCAUUCUGGACCGACACUGACGCUGAGGCGCGAAAGCCAGGGGAGCAAACGGG
rnacentral:rRNA from 1 species